rnacentral:lncRNA from 1 species
UAUUUAUAGAAAUUUGAUUUGAGUUUAGAUGAAAGAAGGGUACUUAUCUUAAAAUUCCAGCCUUUCUUUGUACUUCCUCACAUUGUCCGCUGUUUCAUUCUCAUCAAUAUCGCAACUGAAAAACUUUUGAAAACGUGAUAAAGUCUACUAGAUAAACUGCUUAAUUCUUUCCUGCUAUUGGUUAUAUAUACUAAUUGAUAUUAAGGAAAAAUACUGGAAUACAAUAACAAAAAUUGUCAAAAAGAAUACAAAUAUAUAUCAGAAUAUAAGUGCAUGUAACAGAGAUGUUCCUUGCUGUAGCUUCUUCAUGAGCAUUCAAGUUAGAGCACUUCUCUGAGACUUCUAAAACCAACUCACUGGGUUUACCUGAAGGUCGCCGCUUUUUCGGAUGGCCAAGAGUCUCCUUUCCCCAUCGAUGACGACUAGCUGAUAGCUUUGCACUUUGUAAUCGAUUACGAAGUCUCGAUACUCUGUUUACGUUUUAGGCGGAAUUGUGGAAAUUUUGCGGAACGGAAAAGGGCCUUCACCUUCAUAUUUUAUUUUAUUUAUUUAUUUUUUUGCGGUAUACGAGACUGGGCGCAAUGCGAAUAAAUCUGUAUGAUACACAGAAACUUGCUCAUAUUGCUGAUACAAUGAUCAAGAGUAUUGAUAUGUUUAGUUCAUUUCUGUUGUUAAAAUAAAAAACCGCAAUUGUGCAUGUAAUGAGUGUAAACAAUAAUGAAAAUUUAGAUAUGUCUGUAUUGUUGACUAAGUAGUAAUAAUGCCUGAUUGUAAAAUAUAUAUUAGACUACUGAUUGUAUAUGUACGAUUUAAAGUAAUAAUUACGUAGGGUAGAACACAGCAAAAGAAUCACUGAAUUUUUAUUUAUUUGAAUGACCCAUAAUUUUUGUUUUGUUCAUAGGGAUAUAUCUUUUUUAGGUGAUAUAUCUAUUUUAAUAUAUUGUGUACUUAAUUGUGUGUGCAUAUAUAUACGAAUAAACGGGCCUUAAAACUUGGGUUGAUUUAGUAAAAAAAUUGUGUGUUAUUAUAAACAUUAUAAUACUAUACCACACAAGCACUUUCUUAUAUAUGUAAUGUAAUCUUAGAGAAAUACCAACUGAAUACUUCUUUGAAUAUCUAUAAUAUUCUCUGACUGUGUUGUUUCAUAUACAAUGAUCAAGCAAAGACAGCGUUAAAAUUUUGCUCCGAACAGCUGAGAUGCGUGUCUUAAAUUUUGUACUAAACAGCACAAACUUAUGUCUGGAGGAAAGAAAUUUAUAAAUUUUUGUUUUUGUCUACG